UAGUGAGAAAAAGGAUAAAUACAAAAAGUCUCUGCUCAUCAAUAUCAGCGAUAGUUAUAUAGAAAAUCGAGGAAAUAUUCUCGUGCCCCGUGUGUGCAUAACCUUGACCUUAACAGAUCGCGGAAUAUUGAAGUUUUCCCGGUUUAAUACGACGAUUAGUGAGAAAGAGGAUAUAUAUAAGAGUGUCUCUGCUCAUCGAUAUCAACGAUUGUUAUACAGAAAAUCGAGAUGAGAAUUGUAGCAGAACAGUUUUACGAGCAAUGGCUAACAUUGAUUUGAAGAUAGACACAUUAAUUGCUGAAAUGCGUAAUGUAACAAAAUUGAUGACGACAAAAACGACGGACAAAGAAAUCGAAAAUACUGAAAGUCAAACUUUGAAGGCCUAUCCUAGUAUAUUAACGGAAGAUGAUUUAAUAAAAGAAGAACGACGUUUAUCGACUGACAUACUUCAUAAAAACAACUUAAUUAAGGACUUGGGUAUUUUUGUACAAGCGGACGUCAAAAGUACUGUAUUAAAACUAAUGCA